CAAGCUAAACGGAAUGUUAAUGAACGACAAGCAAGU
rnacentral:sRNA from 1 species